rnacentral:rRNA from 1 species
GACGAACGCUGGCGGCGUGCUUAACACAUGCAAGUCGAACGGAAAGGCCCUGCUUUUGUGGGGUGCUCGAGUGGCGAACGGGUGAGUAACACGUGAGUAACCUGCCCUUGACUUUGGGAUAACUUCAGGAAACUGGGGCUAAUACCGGAUAGGAGCUCCUGCUGCAUGGUGGGGGUUGGAAAGUUUCGGCGGUUGGGGAUGGACUCGCGGCUUAUCAGCUUGUUGGUGGGGUAGUGGCUUACCAAGGCUUUGACGGGUAGCCGGCCUGAGAGGGUGACCGGCCACAAUGGGACUGAGAUACGGCCCAGACUCCUACGGGAGGCAGCAGGGGGGAAUAUUGCACAAUGGGCGGAAGCCUGAUGCAGAAACGCCGCGGGCGGGAUGACGGCCUUCGGGUUGUAAACCGCUUUCGCCUGUGACGAAGCGUGAGUGACGGUAAUGGGUAAAGAAGCACCGGCUAACUACGUG